rnacentral:rRNA from 1 species
UUUCCUACGGGGGGCAGCAGUGGGGGAUAUUGCACAAUGGGGGGAACCCUGAUGCAGCGACGCCGCGUGAGUGAAGAAGUAUUUCGGUAUGUAAAGCUCUAUCAGCAGGGAAGAAGAAAGAUGGUACCUGAGUAAGAAGCCCCGGCUAACUACGUGCCAGCAGCCGCGGUAAUACGUAGGGGGCAAGCGUUAUCCGGAUUUACUGGGUGUAAAGGGAGCGUAGACGGCAGGGCAAGUCUGGAGUGAAAGCCCGGGGCCCAACCCCGGGACUGCUUUGGAAACUGCCAUGCUGGAGUGCUGGAGAG